CUCUAUAGAGCCCUAAGGAUAUGAAUUCGGCCCGCAGCCUUCGCUUCAAAUGGGUUCCUCUCCGUUUGAGCCACCAGAUGAGAGUGCAGCCCAGCCGGCAUGUGGAUUACAGCCUGCUGGAUGUGGUGGUGAAUGCCUAUCAUCUCAGCACUCUGGGAGACUGAGUCAAGAAGAUUGCAAGUGGGGCCAGGGAUUUAGCUCAGUGGUCCUGCCGUCUGCCUCGAAAGCUCAAGGUCCCAAGUUUGAUCCCCAGUACCAAAACAAACAAACAAGGAGACUGCAAGUUCCAGCCCAGCCUGAGCAACUUAAUGAGACCCUGUCUCAAAUAAAAAAUGAAAAGUGUUGGGAUGUAACUCAGGGUGAAGGCUCUGGGUUCAAAAGAAAUAGUGCAAAAGAAAUUUAAAAUUUGAAUUCUUCAGUCUCACCAGCCACAUUCAUUAGUUGCAGUAGCC
ensembl:lncRNA